rnacentral:lncRNA from 1 species
UUACUGGAAGUACUUUCAUGAUGGCGAGUUCGGCUGACCUGAUAAAUGGAGUGAAAAUGAUUUGAAAUUGCGCACCAUGGGAUAUUUUACGAAUAUGUGAACCUAAAGGCAAAGCAACAGAAAAUUAAAUUUAGAACGCCCUGACACCGUAAAACAAGCAAAUGAUCAGGAAAUAUCAUCGAUCCAAUUGCAGAUGAGAGAAAUGGUAAAUGCAUGACCAUGGAAGAAAUGGAAAAACGGAAGGUGGACAAUCCGGAGCACCCAAAAUGGUAUAGGAAGCGAUACCCAAAUUUAAGGAUAGAAGACCGUUCAAACUUUGUUUAUAAACCCUAAUUUAAAUUCGCUUAAUCAUAUUUUAUUUUGGAAGACAAAACAUGCUGAAUAAAUAUAAUUAAAUUUAAA